AGAGUUUGAUCCUGGCUCAGGAUGAACGCUGGCGGCGUGCCUAAUACAUGCAAGUCGAGCGGUAAGGCUCCUACAGGUUAUUCAAGCGGUGAGACAGGUCGCGGAAAUUUCGGCUGAAAUUUUCGCAUCUAAAGCGAAGUGAUGAACUUCCACCGUACCCCUGACUACUGACAAGUAGAAAGUGGUAGCUUGAAUAGCGUGUUGGAGUACACGAGCGGCGGACGGCUGAGUAACACGUAGGAACGUACCCCAAAGUGAGGGAUAAGCACCGGAAACGGUGUCUAAUACCGCAUGUGCUCUUCGGAGUAAAGCUUCGGCGCUUUGGGAACGGCCUGCGCAUGAUUAGCUUGUUGGUGAGGUAAAAGCUCACCAAGGCGACGAUCAUUAGCUGGUCUGAGAGGAUGAUCAGCCAGACUGGGACUGAGAACGGCCCAGACUCCUACGGGAGGCAGCAGUAGGGAAUUUUCCACAAUGGGGGCAACCCUGAUGGAGCAACGCCGCGUGCAGGACGAAGGCUUUCGGGUCGUAAACUGCUUUUAUCUGUGACGAAUAUGACGGUAGCAGAUGAAUAAGGAUCGGCUAACUCCGUGCCAGCAGCCGCGGUCAUACGGAGGAUCCAAGCGUUAUCCGGAAUUACUGGGCGUAAAGAGUUGCGUAGGUGGCAGAGUAAGUUGGUAGUGAAAGCGUUCGGCUCAACCGGAUAUCCAUUAUCAAAACUGCUCAGCUAGAGGAUGAGAGAGGUUAUUGGAAUUCCUAGUGUAGGAGUGAAAUCCGUAGAUAUUAGGAGGAACACCGAUGGCGUAGGCAGAUAACUGGCUCAUUCCUGACACUAAGGCACGAAAGCAUGGGUAGCAAACGGGAUUAGAUACCCCCGUAGUCC
rnacentral:rRNA from 1 species